UAGGGAAUCUUCCGCAAUGGACGCAAGUCUGACGGAGCAACGCCGCGUGAGUGAAGAAGGAUUUCGGUUCGUAAAACUCUGUUGUUAGAGAAGAACAGCGCAUAGAGUAACUGUUAUGCGUGUGACGGUAUCUAACCAGAAAGCCACGGCUAACUACGUGCCAGCAGCCGCGGUAAUACGUAGGUGGCAAGCGUUGUCCGGAUUUAUUGGGCGUAAAGCGAGCGCAGGCGGGCAAUUAAGUCUGAUGUGAAAGCCCCCGGCUCAACCGGGGAGGGUCAUUGGAGUCUGGUUGACUUGAGUGCAGAAGAGGAGAGUGGAAUUCCAUGUGUAGCGGUGAAGUGCGUAGAUAUAUGGAGGAACACCAGUGGCGAAGGCGACUCUCUGGUCUGUAACUGACGCUGAGGCUCGAAAGCGUGGGUAGCAAACAGG
rnacentral:rRNA from 1 species